GACGAACGCUGGCGGCGUGCUUAACACAUGCAAGUCGAACGGUGAAGCGCCUUCCUUUUUGGUGGGUGUGUAUGAGUGGCGAACGGGUGAGUAACACGUGAGUAACCUGCCCCCUUCUUCUGGAUAACCGCAUGAAAGUGUGGCUAAUACGGGAUAUUCUGGGUCUGUCGCAUGAUGGGUCUGGGAAAGAUUUUGUUUCGGUUGGGGAUGGGCCCGCGGCCUAUCAGCUUGUUGGUUGGGUGAUGGCCUACCAAGGCGGUGACGGGUAGCCGGCAUGCGAGGGUCGACGACAAUAGAGGGGAGGAGACACGCAGAAGACUACGACGGGAGGCAGCAGUGAGGAUUCCGGAACAAGGGGAGGCCGGCUGAUGCAGCGACGCCGGAGGAGGGAUGGAGGCCUUAGGGUUGUGAACCUCUUUCGCCAGUGAAGAAGGCCUGCAUUGUUUGUGGGUGGGUUGACGGUAGCUGGAUAAGAAGCGCCGGCUAACUACGUG
rnacentral:rRNA from 1 species